GGACAAUGAAGGGGUUGUACUACUAUAACUGUUGCACGAGCACGCUAUUAUUCUUGAAAAACGAGUAGCUGUUACGUACAGCAUACCGUCGCGGUAAGAUCGUCUUUCCUUAAUUUAUUUGAUCCUGCUAUGAAUAAUUUCUUUGCUUUAUAUGUGCAAACUACAGCAUUAAUGGAUUCGUACAAAUUAACUUUCCCGCCAUUCUAAUCCACCAUCAUUCAAGUUAUUUACAUGUGGGGAAAAAAAAAAAGAUAGUCAUUUUUACCGUGGCUUUUAGCAGGGCAAAAGACAACGAACAAAUGCUCUUCGCUUAUACUUUGAGAAGCUCAUCUGAAUCAUCUCCAUCCCUCAAUCUUGCAUCUGUUGACAAUGAAACAAUAUCUAUCUCGGUCAUUCCUUCAUUGUCGUCUAGAAUGAGUUUAAAAUAUGACUUUCACUUUCUUUGUCAAUACUUACCAACUGCUCCAUUGUGAAAUUUCCCCACUAAAAACAACGCUAAUAUCUCUUUUGAGUUGUGAUCUCACAACAAUAGACAUGGAAACAUUGGCUGAAAAAAUAUUAGCAAUGAGAGCUGAACAAGUG
rnacentral:lncRNA from 1 species